UCUCCAUGGUUGGUGCAAGGUUAGUUUUCCUUCUCUGGUGAGAAGGACACGAAGUUGGCCUUCCUGUGAGUAGUCCAUAUCCUUGGCCACAUCAUCGUCGGAGUCAUCGUCAUCAAGACCUCUCUCUAAAGAGAAGACAUUUUCGUAGGCUCUAGGGAUGUGACCGAUGAGCUUUGAGAGGUACGACUGGGGGUUAGUUUCGUUGGGUACUGCGGGAGCAUCAGAGGUUUCAGCAGGCGGAGAAAGCAUGGAAGGAUCCAUUGCCGGAGAGGAGGAGGAAGGAGGGCGGUUCACGUUCUGGAAGGUUCAGGGCCAGAGAGGAGAGCUAGAGAGAGAAUCCAUUUCUACUGAUUAUCACAAUUUGGACUUCUCAACCUGCUACUUCACCGCCCCCUUGCAGCUGCUUCAGCGAAACGCUGUCGCACCAAACCGCUUCUGCAUUUACACGGACCGCCUCUUCUCGACUGUUGGUAGCCCUCCCCUCUGCUUAUCAACCUGGACUGUAUGAUCUGAAACUAAUAAAAUUCGCAUCCUGAUUCUGAUUUCUGUUGAUUUAAUUUCUCCUUAGCCUUUAAAUUUCUUCCAGGCUUCGAUAUUGUCUAACAUCCAAGGAAGUGUGGGGAUGAGUUAUCAUUUUAAUUGUAAUCGAAACACGGUGAUAUGCGUUCGGUUUAUGAAAGAAUAUCAACUGAAUCUCAAUUUUUAAUUAUCUCAUGUAUUUUGUCGUAUUUUCAGUCACUGAUUUUGACGUCUUUUCGAGUUUGUAAUUUCCAUAUACUAAUUCUAUUCAAUAUCAAAUUUAAACGUAUCUUUCUUCCAGGUUAAUUUUCAUUAUGUGGAUAGAAGAAUUUGCCCCAUCGAUUUCUCUAUCAAUAUCGAUAAUAUCAAGUCUUUUUGUUUGUUGCUAUAGUUUGUUGAUUGUCAUGUUUGGUUGGAAGAAGAAUAACUGCAGGUUGAGGAUGAGCAAGAACGUGCCGAAAAUAUAUGUUUUUUUUCCCCAUUAUCCUGAACUUCGUGUUUCUUUGUUUUGAUUAUUGAUUAGUGAUAUGUGCUUUCUGAUGUUUGAAGCACUCAAACCAAAACGUCUCCGUGAAGUCUUUACCCGAUUGCUGAAUAAGAUUUUACACUGAUGAAAUUGGAAACCCAGAAGAGAGGAGUUAUUGCACUAUUACUGAAGUUCUUCCGGUUAUAAGCAGUCGGGGAGUUCAUAGCAAAAUGGAGUAAUGCUAAGGCUGAUCACCAUGUCCUCCAAAAAUCUUAACUUCUAUAUCCAGUAAGAGUCCAGUGCUCCGAGUCUAACAAGCGAGUAUUAUCAUCAGGAAUCUUGGCUGAAGAGAGGGACGUAGGAUUAAGGUCAAGCUGCAAGGAGAAUUAAACCAAAUUGCAGGAAUAUCGACAUAGUAAUAAUUGUAUUUGGACAUUGCAAUUUCAUUAUUCUUUUCCCUUAGUGAUGGUUAAACUUGUUGCGACUGAUGUACGAUAGUAGAAGACAAUAUGAACGAAAAAGCAAAAGUGACACACGGAAUUGAUUACCCAGUUCGUCAGUAAUUCUGACUACGUCUGGGGGCGCCGCCAAGCCAGGUAUAUCCACUAUUUUUUUUG